CUUGUGUGGUCUGAGAACCAGCUAAAGGUGGCCUGGCAUACUGUCACCGGCUGCGACCCGUGUGCAGCGCAAGCAGCUACCUCUUCAACACCAUGACUGCCUGUACAUGUCCCUCCGUGAUGAUAAUGAACCGAACCUCUGAACUGCAAAUCUUUCAUGUUUAGUCCGUUGGUUCUCUCAUCAACCUCCUCUGGAAACACCCUCACAGACACACCCUGAAGGACUGCAGCAGCAUUUCUCAAGAUAAGUCAGCUCCCAGAACUCCCAUGAGUCAACAUGUGCCUUGAUCUGCAGUGCCUCAGGGAUUGACCUAAGUGGGGUGAUGAGAGAGUGAAGAAAGGACAGACACACAGACGUAAGACAUGUGCAUUUUGAUGGAGAUGCACCAGCGGCAGCAACCUGGAAGCUCAGCACCUUUAUUUCACACAUCUACACUGGGGAAAUGGGUUUAUUGUGUGCAGCUGAAUAUAGGUUAGCUAAUCUUGGAAGGAGAUCUUUGGAGGGAAGCUGUGACUGACAGUUUUAGCACUCACUGGUCAGUCAUUUGCAAACACUUGUAUAGGACCAGAGAAAGGCUUUGCCAUGUCUCUAAGCCUCACCAGGGAAAGGCUUUGCCACCCCUGAGUCUGAAGCAUUGGGGUCUUGACAUGGCUGUGCACAAAUCAACGAUGCACAUUCACUCAGGCCUUCCUCCAUUCCCCACAAACAUAUACUGUGCAGUUUUGAACUUGGGCCAUGUAUUUACUGACUCCCCCAACCCUUAUGCUUUGGUUAGAAUUUUGGCAAGCUUUGCUUAGUCAGGUGGCAAGCUUGAGAUCAGGAGCCAUAUUUGGUUACUUAUAUCUUUACCUCCACUCCUGGC